GACUUGGUGGCAGAGUGGUUAAGUGCUUGACUGCUAACCAAAAGAUUGGUGGUUUGAGCCCACCAGUCU
rnacentral:tRNA from 1 species